UUGAGCGUAGGAGGUAUAUUUUGAAGAAAAGAAAACAGCCAAUAAAGAAUGAAAUACAAAAUUGAUGAAAUGAAUUGUCCAAGAUAUCAAAUAUAAUUGUAAUAAACUAACACGAAGCAGGAGUAUGCUACCGAGAAAUGGUCCAAUACAACUGGAGACAACAAAGAUGCUAUUUAGGACAACGAUGAAAGAGUUUUCGUAGCUAUACAAUUUGCAUAAGGAUUUAUAGCUUGCGUUUAAUGAAGGGCCGGUACCACUGAUUCCUAGUAGAAAAGAAAUUGAAAAAAUAACAAAAUAUGCACACGUUGGAAAAUCAUCCAUGUAUAGAAUAGAGAGUGUAGAAGCAAA